rnacentral:lncRNA from 1 species
CAAAAUCAUUCCAGAGAACAAAAUCCUUCUUAAAAUGAUAUGGGCCCAGGGAAAAUUUCAGUACUUUCUCCUCUUCUUCCCACUGUCUACAUUUUUACAUAGGAGAAAUCAGAGAUUAAAAUAAGUGUUCAUCAAGACCAAGGAGGGAAGCAACUUACACUGGGAGAAAGGGGGUGUCCCUGGAGAUAGACUGAUGCCCUUGCCAGCGGCAGAACUUAGUAUCUGCAUCUGGUGCACCAUCUUCAGAGAUCCCAUCACUGGUGGCUUCAGCCAGGGGCGCUUGGAACGUUGCCUACAGGCUGUUCUGCUUCUUUCAGUUACUUUCUAGCUGCAUCAUAUGGACUAACUAGGGCUGUGUUUUUGAAGGGGGCAAGGGGAAGUCAGCAGAUACCAUCCAGAUUUUUCUUAAAGGGAGAGAUGUGAAAUCCAUCUUUCUACUCAUAAGCGAAGGACCCUCU